GGGGCCGCAGGCUUGCUUUACGCAAACGGGCCUAGCGGCGGCUUAACCUCCCAAACAAGCCGCCACGCGGGUUCGACCCCCGCAGGCCCCA
rnacentral:tRNA from 1 species